GGACCUGUGGCUUAAAGGGGUAGGGCGCCGGCCUCAUAUGCUGGAAGUGGUGGGUUCAAACCCAGCCCUGGCCA
rnacentral:tRNA from 1 species